AGUGAACGCUGGCGGUAGGCCUAACACAUGCAUGUCGAACGGCAGCACAGUAAGAGCUUGCUCUUACGGGUGGCGAGUGGCGGACGGGUGAGGAGUACAUCGGAAUCUACUUUUUCGUGGGGGAUAACGUAGGGAAACUUACGCUAAUACCGCAUACGACCUACGGGUGAAAGCAGGGGAUCUUCGGACCUUGCGCGAUUGAAUGAGCCGAUGUCGGAUUAGCUAGUUGGCGGGGUAAAGGCCCACCAAGGCGACGAUCCGUAGCUGGUCUGAGAGGAUGAUCAGCCACACUGGAACUGAGACACGGUCCAGACUCCUACGGGAGGCAGCAGUGGGGAAUAUUGGACAAUGGGCGCAAGCCUGAUCCAGCCAUACCGCGUGGGUGAAGAAGGCCUUCGGGUUGUAAAGCCCUUUUGUUGGGAAAGAAAAGCAGCAGGUUAAUACCCCGCUGUUCUGACGGUACCCAAAGAAUAAGCACCGGCUAACUUCGUG
rnacentral:rRNA from 1 species